UUAUUUUUUAUUUAUUAAUUGAUUUUUUAUUUAUUAUAAAUUAUUAAAAGUAAUUAUUAUAUGAAUUGUUUAAGUAUUUUAUAUAGAAAAAAUAAUUUUAAUUAUAGUUAAAUAGUAUUGUGAAAGAAAAUUGAAAUAAAUUGAAAAAUUAAUAUUUUAAAAGAAAAUUUAAUUUAUUGUACCUUGUGUAUCAGGGUUUAUUUAAUAAAAAUUAUUUAGUAUAGUUUUCUCGAUUUUAAAAGAGUUAGUAUAUUAUAAAAGUUAAUGUGAUAAAAUUAUUUUGUAUAAUAUAUUAGAAAUGAAAUGUUAUUCGUUUUUAAAGGUAUCUAGUUCUUUAAGAAAUAAAUUUAAUUUAGAAAUUUUAUAUUAUUUAAUUAAAUGCAUUAAUUAAAUAAUUGUUUUAUUUUAAUAUUUUGUGGGAUAAGCUAUGAAAUAAAUUAUUAAAAAUUAUUAAAUAAUUUAAAAAAUAUAAGCUUAGAAAUAGUUAUUAUUAGUAAAAUUGUUAUAAUUUAUUUUAUUAUAUUAAUUAUUUAUUAAAUUUUAAUUAUUUAUUAAAGUAUUUAUUUUAAUUUUAAAAAUAAAAAAAUAAUGAUAAAAUUAGUAUAUUAUAUUGUAUGAGUAUAAUUAAUUGAAAAGUUUUUAUAAAGAACUCGGCAAAAAUAAUGUUCGCCUGUUUAACAAAAACAUGUCUUUUUGAAUUUUUUUAAAAGUCUAACCUGCCCACUGAAUAAUUUAAAUGGCCGCAGUAUACUAACUGUGCAAAGGUAGCAUAAUCAUUAGUCUUUUAAUUGAAGGCUGGUAUGAAUGGUUGGACGAGAUAUUAACUGUUUCAUAAAAAUUUAUAAUAGAAUUUUAUUUUUUAGUCAAAAAGCUAAAAUAAAAUUAAAAGACGAGAAGACCCUAUAAAUCUUUAUAUAUAUAAGUUAUUAGAAUUUUAUAGAUUUUUUUUAUUAUAAUAAUUAAUUGUAUUUUAUUGGGGUGAUAUUAAAAUUUAAUAAACUUUUAAUUUUUUUUAUCAUUAAUUUAUGAGUAAUUGAUCCGUUAAUAACGAUUAAAAAAACAAGUUACUUUAGGGAUAACAGCGUAAUUUUUUUGGAGAGUUCAUAUCGAUAAAAAAGAUUGCGACCUCGAUGUUGGAUUAAGAUAUAAUUUUAGGUGUAGCCGCUUAAAUUUUGAGUCUGUUCGACUUUUAAAUUCUUACAUGAUCUGAGUUCAAACCGGCGUAAGCCAGGUUGGUUUCUAUCUUUAAUAAAUGAAAAUAUUUUAGUACGAAAGGACCUAAUAUUUAAUAAAUAAUUAUUUUUGUAUUGAAUAUAAUUAAUUUAU
rnacentral:rRNA from 1 species